GGUAGGUACCUUGGGACUGCUCUGUGUUCAAAUUUUUGUUGUUGUUGUAGAUCGGAAUAUUACAUCAGACAAGACACAUGGUUUUUUUGCAAUCCAAAUAAGGACGUGAAAAUGGCACUUUGGUCGUCAUGGAAAUAUCUCUCUAUAUCUUGUCCCUCAUGAUCGAUGGCAACAUGAAAAGGCCUUUGGCGGUCGAGACAAACAUCCAUUAAGGAGCCUGAGGAGUUGGAAAGCCAAAAGCAGACCCACAGGAGAUUAUUUCAGGUUACCUAGAGGAUGGCGUCGCACGUCUUGAUGGAGCGGAACAACGCACUCGAGAAGGCGACAGUGCCAAGUAAUGCUUCAUUGGGUUUAAGUGCUGUGCUCAAGUCCUGGCUGAAGUGUAAACAAG